AUUAACAGGAUUAGAUACCCUGGUAGUCCACGCUGUAAACGAUGUCUACUAGCCGUUGGGGUCCUUAGUGACUUUGGUGGCGCAGCUAACGCGAUAAGUAGACCGCCUGGGGAGUACGGCCGCAAGGUUAAAACUCAAAUGAAUUGACGGGGGCCCGCACAAGCGGUGGAGCAUGUGGUUUAAUUCGAUGCAACGCGAAGAACCUUACCAGGCCUUGACAUCCUGCGAACUUUCUAGAGAUAGAUUGGUGCCUUCGGGAACGCAGUGACAGGUGCUGCGUGGCUGUCGUCAGCUCGUGUCGUGAGAUGUUGGGUUAAGUCCCGUAACGAGCGCAACCCUUGUCCUUAGUUGCCAGCACUUCGGGUGGGAACUCUAGGGAGACUGCCGGUGACAAACCGGAGGAAGGUGGGGACGACGUCAAGUCAUCAUGGCCCUUACGGCCUGGGCUACACACGUGCUACAAUGGUUGGUACAGAGGGUUGCGAAGUCGCGAGGCGGAGCUAAUCUCUCAAAGCCAAUCGUAGUCCGGAUUGGAGUCUGCAACUCGACGCCAUGAAGUCGGAAUCGCUAGUAAUCGCGGAUCGGAAUGCCGCGGUGAAUACGUUCCCGGGCCUUGUACACACCGCCCGUCACACCAUGGGAGUGGAUUGCACCAGAAGUAGUUAGUCUAACCUUCGGGAGGACGAUUACCACGGUGUGGUUCAUGACUGGGGUGAAGUCGUAACAAGGUAACCAA
rnacentral:rRNA from 1 species